rnacentral:rRNA from 1 species
AUGAACGCUGGCGGCGUGCUUAACACAUGCAAGUCGAACGAAGCAUUUAAGACGGAUUCUUUCGGGAUGAAGACUUUUAUGACUGAGUGGCGGACGGGUGAGUAACGCGUGGAUAACCUGCCUCACACAGGGGGACAACAGCCGGAAACGGCUGCUAAUACCGCAUAACACAAGUAAUUCGCAUGAAUAACUUGCCAAAGAUUUCAUCGGUGUGAGAUGGAUCCGCGUCUGAUUAGCCAGUUGGCGGGGUAACGGCCUACCAAGGCGACGAUCAGUAGCCGACCUGAGAGGGUGACCGGCCACAUUGGGACUGAGACACGGCCCAGACUCCUACGGGAGGCAGCAGUGGGGAAUAUUGCACAAUGGAGGAAACUCUGAUGCAGCGACGCCGCGUGAGUGAAGAAGUAUUUCGGUAUGUAAAGCUCUAUCAGCAGGGAAGAUAAUGACGGUACCUGACUAAGAAGCACCGGCUAAAUACGUG